CAAAUUUGAAAUCUGGCACCUUCGGUGUCCGAGUUGUAAUUUGAAGAAGGUAACUUUGGAGUUGGCUCUUGUCUAUGUUCCUUGGAACAGGACGUCACAGAGGGUGAGAAUCCCGUGCGAUGAGAUGUCCAACUCUAUGUAAAGUGCUUUCGAAGAGUCGAGUUGUUUGGGAAUGCAGCUCUAAGUGGGUGGUAAAUUCCAUCUAAAGCUAAAUAUUGGCGAGAGACCGAUAGCGAACAAGUACAGUGAUGGAAAGAUGAAAAGAACUUUGAAAAGAGAGUGAAAAAGUACGUGAAAUUGUUGAAAGGGAAGGGUUUGAGAUCAGACUUGGUAUUUUGUAUGUCUUGCUUUCGGGUGGGGCCUCUGCAGUUUACUGGGCCAGCAUCGGUUUGGACGGUAGGAUAAUGACAUUGGAAUGUGGCACUACUUCGGUGGUGUGUUAUAGACUUUGUUGAUACUGCCUGUCUAGACCGAGGACUGCGUCUUUGACUAGGAUGCUGGCAUAAUGAUCCUAAACCGCC
rnacentral:rRNA from 1 species